AGAACGAACGCUGGCGGCAUGCCUAAUACAUGCAAGUCGAACGAACACUUCGGUGUUAGUGGCGCACGGGUGCGUAACGCGUGGGAAUCUGCCCUUGGGUUCGGAAUAACAGUUGGAAACGACUGCUAAUACCGGAUGAUAUCGAAAGAUCAAAGAUUUAUCGCCCAGGGAUGAGCCCGCGUAGGAUUAGCUAGUUGGUGAGGUAAAGGCUCACCAAGGCGACGAUCCUUAGCUGGUCUGAGAGGAUGGUCAGGCCACACUGGGACUGAGACACGGCCCAGACUCCGUACGGGAGGCAGCAGUAGGGAAUAUUGGACAAUGGGGCG
rnacentral:rRNA from 1 species